rnacentral:rRNA from 1 species
AUGAACGCUGGCGGCGUGCCUAAUACCUGCAAGUCGAGCGAACGGACGAGAAGCUUGCUUCUCUGAUGUUAGCGGCGGACGGGUGAGUAACACGUGGAUAACCUACCUAUAAGACUGGGAUAACUUCGGGAAACCGGAGCUAAUACCGGAUGAUAUUUUGAACCGCAUGGUUCAAAAGUGAAAGACGGUCUUGCUGUCACUUAUAGAUGGAUCCGCGCCGCAUUAGCUAGUUGGUAAGGUAACGGCUUACCAAGGCAACGAUGCAUAGCCGACCUGAGAGGGUGAUCGGCCACACUGGAACUGAGACACGGUCCAGACUCCUACGGGAGGCAGCAGUAGGGAAUCUUCCGCAAUGGGCGAAAGCCUGACGGAGCAACGCCGCGUGAGUGAUGAAGGUCUUCGGAUCGUAAAACUCUGUUAUUAGGGAAGAACAUAUGUGUAAGUAACUGUGCACAUCUUGACGGUACCUAAUCAGAAAGCCACGGCUAACUACGUG